AACUGAUAAAAAGGAUUUUCUUUUUUCUGUUAUUAACCUGAAGUGGAAUACUGAAGUAACUGCUGGAUGGAUUCAGCAUUCAUUGACCUGUGCUGUAGCUGUUGAACUGCAAACCUGCUUAAGCAGCCUGGUCUGGGGAGAAAAGAAAAGAGAAAAGGGCACUUAUGCCCAUUAUUUAUAUGCUUCUCUUAUAUCAUGGGGCCAGAAUUACCCCAUCAACAACAGUGUGACAUCAUUGGAAGGAGUACGUGGCUACAUAUGCUAUUUUAUUUCUUAAGUGUUUAUUUUUCUCAAAGAUAAGCAAUUUCAUAUUUACAACCUUCUACCUGAACUGAAUACAAUUGGAAAUUACAUAAUGAAAGUAUAUAAAGUUAAAAUAUGCUGCAUUGCUUUCAUUAUAUCUACAGCAACAUCACAAAGCCAACUAACACUGAGAAUGUUUUCUGACUUUUCUCUACUGAGGAUCAGUGUCCUUCACACCUGUAUGGGAACUGCUGAAUCAUGGCCUGAAACUCUGAUUGAUCACCUGAGGCAAGAAAUGAGUCAACCACAGGAGCACAGGUGAAGGUAAUUCACUUGUGCUACCAGAGGGGUGGAGCCUGGCUCCACCUCUCCUAGAUCCCAUUUAAAUGCUGACUGCCACUGAGGAAGGCUCUCUUCCUGCUGAUCACUCCUUAUGGAGAAUAUUGUGAGCCUAUGACAUCAGGAAUAGCAGCAGUGCUUCCCAUUUUUUUUAUGAUAAGUGCUGAAGACAACAAGACAACUGGCAAACAUGAAGGAUCUGUUCCAAACCUUUACUGAUGUGGACUUCAGUACGCGACCAUCAAGUUAGGAUAAGCAGUUUUGGGAACAAAUGCCAUAUCUAAUCCCAGGAUGUGCAAACUACAAGGAAAAAGCACUCAAUACAACCACAUAGGAAGUAUUUGGAUGAAACUCCAGGCAACCUAACUGAAAACGUCAGAUGAAUGCAUCAACAUUCCACAGCUAUCUUCUUCUAUGAAGGUAUCUUCAUGUUUAAACAAACACUGUCGUCAUUUAAAACUCUGUUAAUGUUUGCACCCCAAACUCUGCUUUGGAUGAAUAACCUUAUGAAAAUUCAGGAAAAUUCUUACUGAAGAGAACCACAGAUUAGCAUGAAAAAAAUCGAGUGACUUGGUACAGUCAGAACUAUGUAUACAUCUAUAUUGCUAUAAAUCACACCAUACUUUUCAGUGUAAUAUGCUGUUUUGAUUGAGGCCAUAGUAGAAGCUUUCCUCUACCUUAUCUUCCAGCUAUGAAUACAUUGACACAAUCAGCCAACUGUAUGUCCAUGUGCUGCUUUCAAUUUUUUCGUGAGCAUUGCAUUGUUGAUCUUGAUACUGAUCACGAACCGACAGCUGAGAGAAACUUACAUGAUAAAAAUCUUCAUAUAAAAUAUCUUAGCAAAGCAGUAUUCAUUCAUGCUCAUCUUGAAAUUUGGAUUGAGAAGGGAGGUGUUCAAGAGCCAUUUAGAUGUUGUGCUGAAGGACAUGGUUUAGUGGGGAAGUAUUGUGGUAAGUGGAUGGUUGGACUGGAUGGUCUUGGAGGUCUUUUCCAACCGUGGUGGUUCUGUGAUUCUAUAACUCUCUGAAAUAAGGCUGUGGUGAGGUGGGGGUCAGCCUCUUCUCUCACAUAACAGUGACAGGACAAGUUAGAUAACUUGAACCUGCCCUGGAGCAAUUUGAGCUGGGUAUUGGGAAAAAUGAGAAUUUAUUAUUGAAAAGAGUAGUCAGGCAUUGGAACAGGCUGCUCGAGGAGGUGGAGCACCUGGAGGUGUUCAGGCAAUGUGAAGAUGUGGCAUUUAAGGAUGUGGUUUAGUGGUCAGUAUUGGUGGUAGGUGGAUGCUUGGAAUAGAUGAUCUUAACGGUAUUUUACAACAUUAAUGAUUCUAUGAUUCUAUGAUUCUAUUCUAUUAAGUCUAUCAAUAAUACUAUUUAUUUUAUUUAUUUGUUAAAUUCAAGUCUGAUGUCAAUGCCCAAAAUUGAUACUAGUUCUUCUUCAUCACAGACCUGCUCUUAACAGUUUACAGGAGAGUAUACUCUCAAGAGUGUUAUCGGGGAUGGAAAAAAAUAUCACUGUGUGUGCACUGUCUGUCAAGUCUCCCUCUCUUCUUCAUAACACCACUAAGGGCCCCUGUUAAAUCCUGCAGGAAGGGAAAUAUUAAUUGUUGUUGUUUAAACAGAAGAAGUGUAAUUCCUUAGAUUUCUAAAUUACAUACAACAUAGCAAGAUUUAGAGCGAGGUCCAGAUACAGAAGCCAGUCUAUGACUUCAUACAGUGAGCUUUUAGUACCAACACUUUCUUAUUAAAAUAUACCCCGAGUGGAGAUAAGGCUGUAUGCACAUCUUCUCCUUGAAACAGAAUAAAGAUUACAACAAUUUAUGUAGAAAAUGAAUUUGUCAGUGAAUCAUUCAUGCACUUGUUUUGUGUUCUGUAAUGUCUUCUUCUUAGAUUAAUGCCAAACGAACACUAAUGAGAUGUAUCUAAAACAAACUGGGAAGAAGAACGUAAGACAGACGGAACAGAGAAAGGCAAAUCAAAAGACAGGUUUGUGGCUUCAGAACUCUGGCUUUCUUGGUUGUCUUUCAGUCCUAAGCUCAAAAUAAAAUUCAUUGCUGGUAUACAUGUGUUUACAAGGAAAAAAAUGAGCAAAAGAUUCAUUUAUAUGGGACCAGACAGGUCACACAUAGUUGAAUUCACAUGUUUCUGAGUGUUCUUUUUCCAAGAGGAAUGAAACAUUUUGAUAAAUCUUCCACAAAUCUAGAACAAAUUGUUGCCAGUUCAGUUGCUGUAAGCAAAGCUGAGGGAAAAAAAUGGGUCUCUUGAUUUGUAAGGAAUCAGUUAUAUGUUGAUUAUACAGGACAUGGAAGUUCCCCUCAAUCCAGUAAAACUGAUGUCUACAAGAAAUCGCUGGAUUCUCUACACCAGGGUAUGGCCUAAUAUAAAAUGGCUGAAAAUAGGUGGAUAGUUGUACUGGAUGAUCUCAGAGGUCUUUAUCAACUUUGGUGAUUCUAUGAGAUUCUAAAAUAGAAACUGA